CCUACGGGAGGCAGCAGUGGGGAAUAUUGCGCAAUGGGCGAAAGCCUGACGCAGCGACGCCGCGUGAGGGAUGAAGGUCUUCGGAUCGUAAACCUCUGUCAGCAGGGAAGAACGGUCACUGUGCUAAUCAGCAGUGAAUUGACGGUACCUGCAAAGGAAGCACCGGCUAACUCCGUGCCAGCAGCCGCGGUAAUACGGCGGGUGCGAGCGUUAAUCGGAAUUACUGGGCGUAAAGCGCUCGUAGGCGGUAUGUCAAGUCAAGGGGGAAAUCCCCGCGCUCAACGUGGGAACUGCCUUUGAAACGGGCAAACUGGAGUGUGUGAGAGGAUAGUGGAAUUCCAGGUGGAGGAGUGAAAUCCGUAGAUAUCUGGAGGAACAUCAGUGGCGAAGGCGACUAUCUGGCACAUAACUGACGCUGAGGAGCGAAAGCGUGGGUAGCAAACAGGAUUAGAUACCCUUGUAGUC
rnacentral:rRNA from 1 species